AUGUUCCAAAAUGGUGAAAGUCACACUGAUGCAGCUGCAGACGUUAUCAAACUCCAUCCUUCUUGCUAUCAUUUUGUAGAACCAUUGUCUUUUUACUCAUUUCAGUCACUACUACUGUACCUAUAAAGCGGUGGAAAUAAAUCACCCUUCAACACUACAGUAGCUGCACCGAGUUCAUCUGUCUGCUGAGCUUAAGAAGGGGACUCUUUUGCGAGGGCAGAAUAAGCUUCUACCCCCAAGCCAUUACACUGCUGAACAAUUAAUCAAAUGGCGACCCAGACUAUUUACACUGCUGCUACUUGCUGUUAGCAUAUAGCCUCGCUAUUGUGAUUUUGUGUUACUUUUUUUUACUCUACUUUAUUUAGUAAAUAUUUAUUUCACUCUUAUUUUCUUAAAACAACAUUGUUGGUUAAGGGCUGGUAAAUAAGCAUUUCACGGUAAGGAUUUAAACACCUGUUGUAUUCGGCGCAUGUGACAAAUACAAUUUGAAUUGAUUGGGCAGUAAGGUACAAAGAGAAUUACAAACAUACGACUGAAA